rnacentral:miRNA from 1 species
UUCAAUGCCGGGGGUCGGUGACCAG